AGUGAACGCUGGCGGUAGGCCUAACACAUGCAAGUCGAACGGCAGCACAGUAAGAGCUUGCUCUUACGGGUGGCGAGUGGCGGACGGGUGAGGAAUACAUCGGAAUCUACUUUUUCGUGGGGGAUAACGUAGGGAAACUUACGCUAAUACCGCAUACGACCUACGGGUGAAAGCAGGGGAUCUUCGGACCUUGCGCGAUUGAAUGAGCCGAUGUCGGAUUAGCUAGUUGGCGGGGUAAAGGCCUACCAAGGCGACGAUCCGUAGCUGGUCUGAGAGGGUGAUCGGCCACACUGGAACUGAGACACGGUCCAGACUCCUACGGGAGGCAGCAGUAGGGAAUAUUCCGCAAUGGGCGAAAGCCUGACGGAGCAACGCCGCGUGAGUGAUGAAGGUCUUCGGAUCGUAAAACUCUGUUAUUAGGGAAGAACAUAUGUGUAAGUAACUGUGCACAUCUUGACGGUACCUAAUCAGAAAGCCACGGCUAACUACGUG
rnacentral:rRNA from 1 species